rnacentral:rRNA from 1 species
UAAAACGUAGGAGGCAAGCGUUAUCCGGAUUUACUGGGCGUAAAGAGCACGCAGGCGGCUGCGUAAGUCGGACGUGAAAGCUCCUGGCUCAACUGGGAGAGGUCGUUCGAAACUGCGCGGCUUGAGGUUGGAAGAGGAGAGCGGAAUUCCCGGUGUAGUGGUGGAAUGCGUAGAUAUCGGGAGGAACACCAGUGGCGAAAGCGGCUCUCUGGUCCACACCUGACGCUCAGGUGCGAAAGCGUGGGUAGCGAACGGGAUUAGAUACCCCGGUAGUCCACGCUGUAAACGAUGCGAACUAGGUGUUGGUAGUAUUAAACCUAUCAGUGCCGAAGCUAACGCGAUAAGUUCGCCGCCUGGGGACUACGGCCGCAAGGCUAAAACUUAAAUGAAUUGACGG